AGAGUUUGAUCCUGGCUCAGAAUCAACGCUGGCGGCGUGCCUAACACAUGCAAGUCGAACGAGAAAGUGGAGCAAUCCAUGAGUAAAGUGGCGACCGGGUGAGUAACACGUGACUAACCUACCUUCGAGUGGGGGGAUAACCUCGGGAAACCGGGGCUAAUACCGCAUAACAUCUUUGGAGUGGAAAUUCUGGAGAUCAAAGGAGCAAUUCGCUGGAAGAGGGGGUCGCGGCCGAUUAGUUAGUUGGCGGGGUAAUGGCCCACCAAGACUGUGAUCGGUAUCCGGCCUGAGAGGGCGCACGGACACACUGGAACUGAAACACGGUCCAGACUCCUACGGGAGGCAGCAGUGGGGAAUUUUGCGCAAUGGGGGAAACCCUGACGCAGCAACGCCGCGUGGAGGAUGAAGUCCUUCGGGACGUAAACUCCUUUCGAUCGGGACGAUUAUGACGGUACCGGAAGAAGAAGCCCCGGCUAACUUCGUGCCAGCAGCCGCGGUAAUACGAGGGGGGCGAGCGUUGUUCGGAAUUAUUGGGCGUAAAGGGUGCGUAGGCGGUUUGGUAAGUCUGAUGUGAAAUCUAUGGGCUCAACUCAUAGUCUGCAUCGGAAACUGCCGGGCUUGAGUGUGGGAGAGGUGAGUGGAAUUUCCGGUGUAGCGGUGAAAUGCGUAGAUAUCGGAAGGAACACCUGUGGCGAAAGCGGCUCACUGGACCACAACUGACGCUGAUGCACGAAAGCUAGGGGAGCAAACAGGAUUAGAUACCCUAGUAGUCC
rnacentral:rRNA from 1 species